UUCCCACCUCUUUGGGUGGGUGGAACAUGGGUGUUGAACUGGAAUGGAUGACGCAAUCACUUUUCUCUGGAAUCCCUGAAACUUUCUCCCACUCAGAGAGCAGGGAGUAUAAGGGCCCCAGAAUGCACCUCCUCCAGGCAGACCCACGCAUCAAGGAGACAGGGAGAGAAGAAGAGAGGAGAGCAGCUGCAGAACUGCUGUCACGCCAGACUUGAAGUCUUACAGGCUGUCUUCAUACAAUUCCCACCGACCAGAAGAAACAAUUCAAAGAGUUUUCUGAAAUAGGAACUGCUCUGGGACAUCUUAUUGUGAAUUAAAUGUCAAGUGAAGACCAUCAUGAAAGCAGUGAUCUUCUCCAUUGUUCUACUGGUCGGCAUAGCCAUCUCCAUGGCAGGAGCAGAGGCAACGAAGGCACCUCGUUGCCAUUGUGCUAGCACCCGCAAAACACCACUCAACACCAAAAGGAUAACUACAAUUCGACAGAUCCUACCUCGACCACACUGUCCCAGGGAGGAAGUCAUUGUCAAAUUGAUAACUGGAGAAUCAGAGUGUCUGGAGCCAACUGGGGAUUUUGCCAAAAUGUUGAUCAAGAGAAUGAAAAGCCAUCUGAAGAGAAGACAGUCGGAAGUUAUAAACACCAGCACCAUCCUUCCUAUUACAGCUGAACACACUCAAAUCACAGGAUCAUUGUAGUGACAUGCUGCCUGUAAAGUUACCUCCAACGUAUGCUGCUCAUAUUGGCAAUGGAGUUCUUUGUUUUUAAACUUGUGAAAACGUAUACAUUUUGUACUUGGGCACUUUGGACAGAAUUUUAAUUUGUCUAAAUCCAACACCAAUAUUAUUGUUCAUAAAAAAGUGUUUUUGUCCUGAUAUGUAAACGUUUUGACUAUAAAUUAAUCCAUCAUCA